rnacentral:siRNA from 1 species
UGGGAUACUAUUGCUUUCCAU